GUGCAUGGCUCUGCAGACAGGGGCGCAGAUAGAUCCGGCCGUUCUUGAGCGAACCUUCGAUCGGAUCGUCAUGCACGGUCGUGCGUCCGCUC
rnacentral:sRNA from 1 species